UUCGUAAUACUUUUGUUUUCCAGUUGGGUACACGACUGUGAUCACAACUUCACGCGGCAAUCGGUAUACUCUUGCUACCAGACUGCCAGUGACUGUUUUGUUGACAAGUGUGAGGGUCGGUGCUCGGGAACGUGCACUUUUUACACUCGGGUUUGCCAGGAUUGUUCCGUGUGUCACCCGUUCUUGUGAACGGCUAUCAAGUUUACGUGGAAGCAGUACUAGUUCUAUAAGUGACCUUAAAGGAAUUGCAUGUAACGACUGUUAAGUGUGUGGAUUGAAGACCAAAAUCAACGUAAUGCGCAGAAAAAUAUGAUGAACAUUAAAGAGAAGGCAUUUUUUUUUAUUGUGAUUUACAGGCUAAGCAAGGUAUCACUUAUGAAGACAAACCUUUUCAGGACGACAAAGGUUGGUUGAAGGGUAAAAGAAAGUGGCUUAAUUGUGCCACCAUCAAGGUCAACACUAAUCAACAUAAUUUUAGUUCAGACUUCAGUACAAGCUUGUAAAUGACGUUCACUACCUGACUGUGUAAUCCUCCGCCGACGACGAGUUACUAACAGGUAAGAACCAAUUUUAACAGUUAAUUAACAGUUAAUAUUUCCUCCCAGUCGUGAGUUGUUAAGAGACCCUCGCCUAGCUAACUGUAGGUAGGUCUGA